AACAUUUAUUUUGUCAUUACAAUUAUUUACUUUAAUUUAUAUAAGACUUUAAAUUUGAUGAAUAACUAAACUCUAUCGAAAGUAUUCCUAUUUUCGGUUGCUUUUAGUCGAUGAAAGUGAAUAACAAUUUUAACAAGUACAUGGAACGUACAUACAUACAAAUGUAAAUGUGGGACAUCUAUCAACAAUAAAAAUGUCGAUACAUACAUACUAGUUUCGCAUAAACAAAGUAAUUUUCGUUACAAAUUUGAUCUUUUUAUAGGUAUUCAUUGUAAUAAAUUGAUUAAUACACCGAUAGUCAAAAUUCAGAACCCCAAAUAUAAUAAAUGUAUAAUAUUAAUUUGUUGUAUUUAAUAAGUUUUGACAAAAAGCAAAUUUCUUCCACAUUUAAAUUAUAUCCGCAUUUAAACUAUUUUUUUCGACUAAACCAAAAUAAUUAGAGUAUUAAAAAAUACCAUACAAUACUAAGAUGUUGCAUGGUCCAGGCAGAGACGAAAAAAUAUAAAUUGAAUAAGAGUAGACAAGGCUUCGAACGAAAAACUAAGUGCAAUGGGUUCCUUAUGAAACAUCUUGGUAAUUUUAUAACAACUCGUUAAAAUUACCAAUUACCAAAGGAGUUAAUUUAGAUGUGAUGAAAUUUUAGUUAUGAAAACGUACAUUUAUGUACGAAAAUAGUUAAUGGCAUCUGUAGAGACAAACAAGAUUAAUUUGUGUAUAUACUUUUCAAUCCAAGUUAAUUAUAUAUAAUAACAUGUGCCUAAUUCAUCUCAAUUUUUAUAAAUGUUCGCUAAAACAUUUUUCUUAUAUAUCAUAUAUCUUUCAAUAACUUAAAACCUUUUCUGGUCUCUUUGAAACCAGUCACACAUUAAUUAUUUAAAACAAAUUGAAUAGAAUGACAUUUGAUACCCUAUUUUAAAACUUUUCUUUUUUUGAAAUUAAAAAUGGAAUAAGUAUUUAAUAUUAUCUUUAGGUCUAUUUUCUUACAUAGUGUUAUUACUUAGUUAACCCACAUAAUUUGACCUACUCAACUUUAAUAUCCAAAAAGCUGUAAGUCACGAUUCAAGUUUUUGAAAUACUUCCAUCUAAGCUGGGAAUAUAAUGAAGUACAUACAUAAUAUAUCUUAGAAAAGACAUUUUAGAAACAUUCAUAUGUUUUUAUCAUCUUAUGUUACUUUUAACGCAUUAACUCACAAUAAUUGGCGCAUAAUGAUAAUUCUUUGAUAAAUGUAAUAAAUGAAAAUAUAAAUAUCUAAAUAAACUUUUU
rnacentral:lncRNA from 1 species